rnacentral:rRNA from 1 species
UACGUAGGGUGCAAGCGUUGUCCGGAAUUAUUGGGCGUAAAGAGCUCGUAGGCGGUCCGUCACGUCGGCUGUGAAAACCUGGGGCUCAACCCCGGGCCUGCAGCCGAUACGGGCGGACUAGAAUUCGGUAGGGGAGACCGGAAUUCCUGGUGUAGCGGUGAAAUGCGCAGAUAUCAGGAGGAACACCGGUGGCGAAGGCGGGUCUCUGGGCCGAUAUUGACGCUGAGGAGCGAAAGCGUGGGGAGCGAACAGG